UUGUCGCAACCGAUCCCCUGAAUGCAGCUCUGAGAUGGAGAGGAAUCCUCACUGCUCGGCGCCCUUACUCUGUUCCCUCGCCCAACUCUCUAUGGCACAUGGAUGGCCACCACAAGCUUGUGAGAUGGGGCAUGGUAACGCACGGGGCUAUUGACGGAUAUAGCAGACUCGUCGUGUUUCUUCGCUGUAGCAAUAAUAACACUGCCGAAACAGUUUAUAAUCUCUUCCUUUCAGCUGUCCAACGGUUUGGACUACCGUCAAGAAUGCGAUCUGACUACGGUGGUGAAAAUUAUCGUGUAGCAGCACAUAUGCUAGAGAGUAGAGGAUAUGACCGCAACAGCAUGAUAACUGGCAGUUCCGUGCACAACCAGCGGAUUGAGCGCCUCUGGCGCGAUAUGCAUCGUUGCGUAACAGUGAUAUUUUACAAGUUAUUCUAUUACCUAGAGCAACAUGGUUACUUGGAUCCUGAUAACAUGUUUCAUCGGUAUUGUUUACAGUACGUCUAUCUUCCACGUAUCAACCAGUCACUGAAAGUAUUUAUGGAGGGUUGGAACUGUCAUGGGGUUCGAACGGAACACAAUCUAACACCACAUCAAUUAUUUGUGCGGGGAGCACUUUAAAUGCAGAGAAGAGGACUUCAAGCCCUAGACUUUUUCGAACAUAUUGAUGAAAUGUAUGGUGUAGACGAAGAAAUCAGUACGGGUGAUGACGAUUACACAGUUCGUAUACCCCCAAUUGGUCUUGCAUUGUCUGAUGAGAAUAUGGCUUUGUUGAAGGAAAGAGUAAAUCCUCUGGCAGACAGCGAUAAUUUUGGGAUAGAACUGUAUGUUGAAACACUUACUUUUUUACGUACUUUGAUUAACUGAGAUUUGUUAAUGAAUGUGCAGUGCGUAAUGCCAGUAAUAAUUACAAAUUUAUA